rnacentral:rRNA from 1 species
AACGAACGCUGGCGGCAUGCCUAACACAUGCAAGUCGAACGAGGCCUUUGGGUCUAGUGGCGCACGGGUGCGUAACGCGUGGGAACCUGCCCUUAGGUUCGGAAUAACUCCCCGAAAGGGGUGCUAAUACCGGAUAAUGUCUUCGGACCAAAGAUUUAUCGCCUUUGGAUGGGCCCGCGUUGGAUUAGCUAGUUGGUAGGGUAAAAGCCUACCAAGGCGACGAUCCAUAGCUGGUCUGAGAGGAUGAUCAGCCACACUGGGACUGAGACACGGCCCAGACUCCUACGGGAGGCAGCAGUGGGGAAUAUUGGACAAUGGGCGAAAGCCUGAUCCAGCAAUGCCGCGUGAGUGAUGAAGGCCUUAGGGUUGUAAAGCUCUUUUACCCGGGAUGAUAAUGACAGUACCGGGAGAAUAAGCUCCGGCUAACUCCGU